rnacentral:rRNA from 1 species
CCCUUAGAUGUUCUGGGCAGCACGCGCGCUACAAUGGUCUUCGCAAACGGAUGCAUUCUCGAAGGAGAAUGCCAAUCUUGGAAUCUAUGCCUUGGUCGGGACAGUUGCUUGCAAUUUUUCGACUCGAACCAGGAAUUCCUUGUAAUCGUGAUUCAUCACAUCACGAUGAAUACGUCCCUGCCCUUUGUACACACCGCCCGUCGCUCCUACCGAUCGAAGAGUAGGUGAAUUGUUUUGAUCGAUAAGAUUUGACUAUGGUCAACUCUCGUUGUGAAAUUCUGUGAAUCUGACUGUUUAGAGGAAGGAAAAGUCGUAACA